CAUUAGAGCGGAAGAUGUGAACGUGGAAAAGGUGAAGAUUGGUCCAAGAUUGCUCAUAUCCCUAACAUUAUUCUUGACGGUUCUGAGAUCAGUUCAACAGGCAAUUAGGUCCGUGGGAGUUUGUGAGAUAUCAUGGGAUCUCAGCUGAAAAUGCCAACUGCUGAAUGAAACAAUAUUUGUAUUUGAUGUAGUAAAUGGCCAACAAUAUUUGUGUUUUAAUGAUUGUGAAACUUCUUAUUUUAUUAUUUGUAUCUCUAAACUCUUGUCACUUUUAUUUUUAUAUUGUAAAUAGUUCCAUGUCUGAGGUUAGACACUUUGUCCCUUUAUUAUUGGAUACCCUUUUAUCUUAUUUUUACUUGUGAAAGGCUUUAGCUUGGUUUUCACUACAAGUAAGGCGUACAGUUGAGGCUUCAUAUGUCAACUAUUAUGGGUGUUGCCCUACAAGAUUUUCCAUAGCUUCUUCAAGGAUCUGCCACUUUAUGUUUUGCAGAGUUACUAAUGAACUAAUCUUGGAUAAUUACAUCUGACAUGC